UACGUAGGGUGCGAGCGUUAAUCGGAAUUACUGGGCGUAAAGCGUGCGCAGGCGGUUCGUUGUGUCGUGCGGUGAAAUCCCCGGGCUUAACCUGGGAAUGGCAUUUGGGACUGCAAGGCUGGAGUGCGGCAGAGGAGACUGGAAUUCCUGGUGUAGCAGUGAAAUGCGUAGAUAUCAGGAGGAACACCGAUGGCGAAGGCAGGUCUCUGGGCUGACACUGACGCUCAUGCACGAAAGCGUGGGGAGCAAACAGG
rnacentral:rRNA from 1 species